CCUACGGGAGGCAGCAGUGAGGAAUAUUGGACAAUGGUCGGAAGACUGAUCCAGCCAUGCCGCGUGCAGGAUGAAGGUCCUAUGGAUUGUAAACUGCUUUUGUAAGGGAAGAGUAAGGGGUACGUGUACUUUGAUGACGGUACCUUACGAAUAAGCAUCGGAUAACUCCGUGCCAGCAGCCGCGGUAAUACGGAGGAUGCGAGCGUUAUCCGGAAUCAUUGGGUUUAAAGGGUCCGUAGGCGGGCUGAUAAGUCAGAGGUGAAAGCGCUUAGCUCAACUAAGCAACUGCCUUUGAAACUGUCAGUCUUGAAUGAUUGUGAAGUAGUUGGAAUGUGUAAUGUAGCGGUGAAAUGCUUAGAUAUUACACAGAACACCGAUAGCGAAGGCAUAUUACUAACAAUUUAUUGACGCUGAUGGACGAAAGCGUGGGGAGCGAACAGGAUUAGAUACCCUGGUAGUCCACGCUGUAAACGAUGGAUACUAGCUGUUUGGAGCAAUCUGAGUGGCUAAGCGAAAGUGAUAAGUAUCCCACCUGGGGAGUACGCACCCAAGUGUGAAACUCAAAGGAAUUGACGG
rnacentral:rRNA from 1 species